rnacentral:rRNA from 1 species
AGAGUUUGAUCCUGGCUCAGGAUGAACGCUGGCGGCGUGCCUAAUACAUGCAAGUCGAGCGAACGGACGAGAAGCUUGCUUCUCUGAUGUUAGCGGCGGACGGGUGAGUAACACGUGGAUAACCUACCUAUAAGACUGGGAUAACUUCGGGAAACCGGAGCUAAUACCGGAUAAUAUUUUGAACCGCAUGGUUCAAAAGUGAAAGACGGUCUUGCUGUCACUUAUAGAUGGAUCCGCGCUGCAUUAGCUAGUUGGUAAGGUAACGGCUUACCAAGGCAACGAUGCAUAGCCGACCUGAGAGGGUGAUCGGCCACACUGGAACUGAGACACGGUCCAGACUCCUACGGGAGGCAGCAGUAGGGAAUCUUCCGCAAUGGGCGAAAGCCUGACGGAGCAACGCCGCGUGAGUGAUGAAGGUCUUCGGAUCGUAAAACUCUGUUAUUAGGGAAGAACAUAUGUGUAAGUAACUGUGCACAUCUUGACGGUACCUAAUCAGAAAGCCACGGCUAACUACGUGCCAGCAGCCGCGGUAAUACGUAGGUGGCAAGCGUUAUCCGGAAUUAUUGGGCGUAAAGCGCGCGUAGGCGGUUUUUUAAGUCUGAUGUGAAAGCCCACGGCUCAACCGUGGAGGGUCAUUGGAAACUGGAAAACUUGAGUGCAGAAGAGGAAAGUGGAAUUCCAUGUGUAGCGGUGAAAUGCGCAGAGAUAUGGAGGAACACCAGUGGCGAAGGCGACUUUCUGGUCUGUAACUGACGCUGAUGUGCGAAAGCGUGGGGAUCAAACAGGAUUAGAUACCCUGGUAGUCCACGCCGUAAACGAUGAGUGCUAAGUGUUAGGGGGUUUCCGCCCCUUAGUGCUGCAGCUAACGCAUUAAGCACUCCGCCUGGGGAGUACGACCGCAAGGUUGAAACUCAAAGGAAUUGACGGGGACCCGCACAAGCGGUGGAGCAUGUGGUUUAAUUCGAAGCAACGCGAAGAACCUUACCAAAUCUUGACAUCCUUUGACAACUCUAGAGAUAGAGCCUUCCUCUUCGGGGGACAAAGUGACAGGUGGUGCAUGGUUGUCGUCAGCUCGUGUCGUGAGAUGUUGGGUUAAGUCCCGCAACGAGCGCAACCCUUAAGCUUAGUUGCCAUCAUUAAGUUGGGCACUCUAAGUUGACUGCCGGUGACAAACCGGAGGAAGGUGGGGAUGACGUCAAAUCAUCAUGCCCCUUAUGAUUUGGGCUACACACGUGCUACAAUGGACAAUACAAAGGGCAGCGAAACCGCGAGGUCAAGCAAAUCCCAUAAAGUUGUUCUCAGUUCGGAUUGUAGUCUGCAACUCGACUACAUGAAGCUGGAAUCGCUAGUAAUCGUAGAUCAGCAUGCUACGGUGAAUACGUUCCCGGGUCUUGUACACACCGCCCGUCACACCACGAGAGUUUGUAACACCCGAAGCCGGCGGAGUAACCUUUUAGGAGCUAGCCGUCGAAGGUGGGACAAAUGAUUGGGGUGAAGUCGUAACAAGGUAGCCGUAUCGGAAGGUGCGGCUGGAUCACCU